UUGCUCCGGCAGCACAUGUGCUGAAUUUGGAAUGAUACAGAGGAUAUUAACAUGACCCCCCUACAUAAGUAUGAUGCUCAAAUUUAGGAAGUGUUCCAUAUUUAA
rnacentral:snRNA from 1 species